rnacentral:rRNA from 1 species
UACGAAGGGGGCUAGCGUUGCUCGGAAUCACUGGGCGUAAAGCGCACGUAGGCGGAUCGCUAAGUCAGGGGGGAAAUCCUGGAGCUCAACUCCAGAACUGCCUUUGAUACUGGCAAUCUCGAGUCCGGGAGAGGUGAGUGGAACUGCGAGUGUAGAGGUGAAAUUCGUAGAUAUUCGCAAGAACACCAGUGGCGAAGGCGGCUCACUGGCCCGGUACUGACGCUGAGGUGCGAAAGCGUGGGGAGCAAACAGG